rnacentral:lncRNA from 1 species
GGGACAUCUGGAGGUGUUUAAGUGUGGUCUCUGAUAAUGAUAUUCCAGAUAAUAACUGUGAGGCCUGCUCAUCUAGUCGAACUGUAAUUCAUUGCAGUAUUUAAUAACGUUAGUUUGGUUUAACCAAAUUAAUAAAUAAAAUUCACUCAACGGGGUAUGUGUGAAAAAGUCUUAUAGUGCAUGUUAAGUAUGCAGACCUAUAUUUCAGACUUGUUAAAAGAUUGUAGUUGAAAAUUAGAUUUAAAAAUUAAAAUGUAACACAACCUAAAUUAUCAUGAAUAGUAGUGGGAAAAGUUCUUGAGGAAGUGUCUUAGUAAUUAAAAUUAGCCCUUUAAAACUAGCACUUAUGCCUGGUGGCAUGGGCCUGUAAUCCAGCUCUGGAGGCUGUGGCAGGAGGAUCGCAAGUUCAAAGCCAGCCUCAGCAAAAGGGAGGUGCUAAGCAAAUAAGUGAGACCCUGCCCCUAAAUAAAAUACAAAAUAGGUGUGGGGAUGUGGCUCAGUGGUCAAGUCCCCCUAAAUUCAAUCUCCAGUAUCGCCAUCCCCCCAAAAAUCAAGUAACACUUAUGAUUUUUAGCUGUUUUUAAUAAAAAUCUUUGUAAAAUUUUUCUUCUUUGCCAUAAAUGAGCAAAACACAAUGAAGAUAAUUAUCUUUUCUGGAUAAUUGGUGAUUGUUAUUACUAAUACUAUUAUUGCAUUUUGGUAGUAGUAGAGAAGUAGGUCAUAGCUGACUAAAAUAUAUGGAAAUUUUUAACUAAAGUGACAUUAACUGUCACACAGUACAGCCUGGCACUGCUAUUCAGCAGUCCUGGAUACUCACUUUAUGCAGUGCAAUCUCCUGCCUAACUACACAAUUUUGUGGCCUGUUCUUUUUCUUUGCACCCCUCUAGCUAAGAUUUUUUAAGGCUGUUAAGGAAAUGAAGACAUUUCUCAGAAAAAGGAAUGAUUUUGUGUUGAAUAUGUAAGUAGUAUAGGACAAAUAAAUAACUAACCAGAUUGUAGAUCAUAGAAGAUAUCUUGGAAAAUGUGAUUUACCUCUUUUCUACAGAAAUAGAUUAAGAGUUAUGUAGGGUAGGGGCUGGGGUUAUGGCUCAGCUGUAGAACACUCGCCUCGAAUGUGCAAGGCCCUGGGUUUGAUCCUUAGCACCAAAUAUCAAUAAAUAAAAUAAAGUUAUAAAAAAAAAGUUAUGUAGGGUAAUAUUACAUGACUACUUUCUCCUUUCUUAUUCUUUCUCUCUCCCUCUUUUUAAUUAAAAAAAUAAGUAUACCAGUGAAACUAGGCUUAUGUUAUUAGGUUUGAUUUAAAUCAAUUAAGCCUUCUUUUAUAUGGCCACUAUUGGAACAACUAUUGAUGAAAAAGUCAAAUAAAAUAAUGCUCUUUCAUGCCAAUGAUAAGAUAGGUUUUUAUAAUGAAAAUUGCAGUUCAAAGAUCAUAGGCAUAUUAAAUAUAUAUGUUGAAAAAAACUUCAGUUCUGGUUUAAUCUAAAUUCAUCCUGACAUGAAUGAGGCUUGGGUAUAUGCUUUCCUACAUAUACACACAUCCUGAUGGUGCU